GACGAACGCUGGCGGCGUGCUUAACACAUGCAAGUCGAACGAGGGGAGAACGGGUGAGGAAGGGAGGGGGAGCUGCCUGAUGGCGGGGGAUAACUACGGGAAAAGGUAGCUAAUACCGCAUACCAGCAGAUGAACCCAUAUGGGAUUAGCUAGUAGGUAAGGUAACGGCUUACCUAGGCGACGAUCCCUAGCUGGUCUGAGAGGAUGAUCAGCCACACUGGGACGGAGACACGGCCCAGACUCCUACGGGAGGCAGCAGUGGGGAAUAUUGCACAAUGGGCGCAAGCCUGAUGCAGCCAUGCCGCGUGUAUGAAGAAGGCCUUCGGGUUGUAAAGUACUUUCAGUCGGGAGGCGUUACCGACAGAAGAAGCCCCGGCUAACUCCGUGCCAGCAGCCGCGGUAAUUC
rnacentral:rRNA from 1 species